GAUGAACGCUGGCGGCGUGCCUAAUACAUGCAAGUCGAACGCAUUGAGAGAAGUGCUUGCACUUUUCAAUUUGAGUGGCGAACGGGUGAGUAACACGUGGGCAACCUACCUGAUAGCGGGGGAUAACGAGUGGAAACAUUCGCUAAUACCGCAUAACAAUAGAGAAGGCAUCUUCUUUAUUUAAAAGGCGCUUUCAAGCGUCACUAUCAGAUGGGCUCGCGGUGCAUUAGGUAGUUGGUGGGGUGAAGGCCUACCAAGACGAUGAUGCAUAGCCGAGUUGAGAGACUGAUCGGCCACACUGGGACUGAGACACGGCCCAAACUCCUACGGGAGGCUGCAGUAGGGAAUCUUCCACAAUGGACGAAAGUCUGAUGGAGCAACGCCGCGUGUGUGAUGAAGGCUUUCGGGUCGUAAAGCACUGUUGUAUGGGAAGAAAUGCUAGGCUAGGAAAUGAGCUUAGUUUGACGGUACCAUACCAGAAAGGGACGGCUAAAUACGUGCCAGCCGCCGCCGUAA
rnacentral:rRNA from 1 species